UACAAUGCAUUAACAUUUUAUUACACAUUGUACAUUUCAAAAUGAGGCAUUGACAAACAACAUAGUCUAAAGUUUGUUUGACUGUAGUUCCAAAAACCUAUUUGAUAAUUUUAUUCAGGAAAAAUUGGCGGAAUAGACAAGCUUAGAUAAUCUUGAUUGGAUGAAUAUGUAAAUAUGACAUGGCUGCAACAGUUUACACAUGGUUUGUGUGUGUGUGCGUGUGUUUUUCAGAACUGAAACACCCUUCACUGACAGCUACAAUUUCUUCUGUGAGACUGUCAUCCGUCAAAGGAUUAUAGUUGACCAGGAAGUGCUGCGAAUGGACAAGCUACGAAAGACAUUCGUGGACAUAGUGAAGAAUCAAGAGGGUCUUGAUGCUUCAAAAUACAGGCAGGAUCUACUGAAGAGGAGGCUGACGCGUGACUUCCCGCAGCUCACUUUCCACUGCCCUGCCAAGAGAAACAUCAGUGAACUUGUUUUUGUUGAGACACUGUCAGCUGAUAGACUAUUACAAAAGAUACCUCCACAGUCAGGUACAUCUACCAAGUCUACUGAGGUAAGCCAAGCUGAAAGCCAAACUGAAAGUGACACAUGGCUAGCACAACAUCUGGAUGACUAAAAAUCCUGCCCCGAUAGUGUUUUGCAGGUAGUCCACUGUAGUUGCAAGACAACCAAAUGUGAAACUGAAAGAUGUUCUUGUAUGUCUGCAAGACUGUCUUGUACAGAUGUAUGUCGGUGCCAAGCAUGCGAGAAUGUUUCAAAAGAAACAGAGGACAGAGCUGUAUGGGAUGAUGACCUUGAUGAAAGUGAUAUUGAUGAGUAAUAUACGCACCAUGUCACCAUGUAUAGUUUUUCUUUUUCUUUCUUUAUUUUUUCCUAUAUUUGUAUGUGUAUUAAUCCAUAUUUUCAUAUUCAGAGACACUGUCGUAUUUGAAUAAAAUGUGAAUGACUCUGA